GAGGGUAUAGCCCAGCGGUAGAGCAUGGGCUUUUCAUGCCCAAGGUCCUGGGUUCAAUCCCCAGCACCUCCA
rnacentral:tRNA from 1 species